GACAGAGGGUGCAAACGUUGCUCGGAAUCACUGGGCGUAAAGGGCGUGUAGGCGGACAUGUAAGUCGGGCGUGAAAUCCCUGGGCUCAACCCAGGAACUGCACUCGAAACUGCGUGUCUUGAGUACCGGAGAGGAAAGUGGAAUUCCUGGUGUAGAGGUGAAAUUCGUAGAUAUCAGGAGGAACACCAGUGGCGAAGGCGGCUCCCUGGAACGGUACUGACGCUGAGACGCGAAAGCGUGGGGAGCGAACAGG
rnacentral:rRNA from 1 species